UUUUAAACCGAAAUAUCUAAGAACUGAUUCAGGUAUUUGAUUGGUUUAGGCGCAUGUGAUAUGUUUGGAAGUGUCCCUGCUAUAAACUAAAAUGUAGACAUAUAUAUAUAUAUAACUUUACGUACUCAUGGCUGAGAACCUUGAAGUUGCUAGAACAUUCCUUAUAUGAUCCAGGUACCUGACUAGGGGGCUUGGAAGAAGAAGACAACUAGUUGUGAGUUGUCCAUCUUUUCAUCACCCAUCUGCGUUGACUUGCUUAAAUUCCUUGUUAAAAAACUUCCAUUGGAGCACAUUGAGUCCAAAUACGAUGUCCAGCUGAAAGAGAACGAGAGCUACAGUUCGCUGGUAGCUACGGUAAAAGAAAAGUACAGGCUUGACCAAUUUCUCUUACCCACCGAGCAUGUUCUUCUCACUUACGAGUUACCCGACUGGAUGAAAGAAACGGAUGAGUAUACAUCACCACCUUUGGAGAUCAAGGACGACAGAGACGUGGAAGUUUUCAUGGCUGUCCGUGUAGACUGUGUGUGGCUAGAGCUUUAUGUAACCUACGGCGAUGCAGACGUUAGCCGUUACCGUCGUUUAACGGCUAUGGAAGAGGGUCUGAUUCUCAUUGCGAACCCUAGGCCCGGUCAGCAACCAUUAACACGCUGGAGAGGUGCAGUGGAGAGAGGCUAUUUAUUAGCUAGCGAGGACGUGUUGAUGGAGAUAUGCACUACAGAGGAGCUUCUGAAGCUAAAAAGACACUCAAAAGGCUCUAACACGAGAGCUGGAAGAGGAUGAUGGGUUCAUUAUUGGAAGUGAUUUGGGUUCUUCAACAGACUCAUCUCGACCGCCUGACACUGACGAUGAUCCUCCAGCUACAGGUGGCGUGAUAAGACUUAGAGAAGUGACCGAUACUUUUAACAAAGGAGACUGUUCAAUGGUAGACAAGGGGAAGGCAAUCAUGACACAAGACAGUGUUGCUAGCGUGCGGAAUAUAGUGGGACAAGGAGAAGGAAACUCUUUAGGUGGCGGACUAGGACCGAACUCGGGUACACUGGCCUCAAUGAACAGGUGUGAAGUGGCCAUAUUAAAUUUCUUCAAUAUGGCAGAAGGGUCUGACUUGCAAGCGAAUGACCAUCUUAGGGUUGGGCAAGUAUUCGAGAAUAAAGAGGCUUUCAAGCUCCAUAUGACAUGAUGAGAGAGCGCUACGGUGGUGGGAGUGGGACUGAUCCACGCCCGGGGGAAGUAAGAGAGCUAAUGAGUACUGAACAUAGGGUCCCCAUUACUUACUGGAAGGCAUGGAAGUCCAGAGAGUCAGCAAUAGGGCAAGGUUCUGGAAGCUCAGAGGCUGCUUAUCAAUGUCUGCCAUCCUACUCUGAGAACCCAGGUUCAACAGUUGCGUUGGAAACGGUUCCAGCCCCUGAUGGAGAACAACGGUUCAAGUAUCUCUUUCUAGCCUUCGGCGCAAGCAUACAAGGAUUUCCUUACAUGAGGAAGGUGGUGAUUAUCGAUGGCACCCACCUAAAGGGGAAAUACUCUGGCCGUCUGCUCACAGCAAGUGCUCAAGACGGGAACUUUCAAAUUUUCCCAAUUGGGUUUGGGAUUGUAGACUCUGAGAACGAUCAGUCUUGGACUUGGUUCUUCAGUAAGCUUCAAACCGUGGUUCCAGACUCCUACGAUCUGGUUUUGGUAUCUGACCGCCAUCUACUCGGGGAUACGCAGGGUUUAUCCACAGUCGCAGCACUGCGCUUGCCUAAUGCAUAUCCAGCGAAAUGACCAAACCAUUUUCAAGAAGAAACACCUUAUGUACCUUAUAGCCAGAGCAUUCCGUGUGGAAGACUUCUAUACUCAUUUCAAUGAGAUUAAGGUGAUUGACAUUGCCUGCGCCGACUACCUCAUAAGGAUAGGCUUCGAGCAUUGGGCGAGAUCUCACGUCGAGGGGUCUUAACACUUAACAAUGCCCUCUCCACAGCAAGGGAGUACCCUAUAGUUGGUCUGAUCGAGUACAUCAGAACAAUGCUUAUGGGUUGGUUCUCUAGCAGGCGCACUGCUGCUAACACAAAUGGUAGCGCGUUAACUCCAAAGGUUGCUGCCAUCGUGUCAAGGAACUUCACAGUGUCUACCGGAUAUGCAAUCCGACACAUCAUAAACGCGAAGUAUGAGGUGCUUUGAUGAUGGGGGUGUCUUCCACAGAGUGGAUCUCGAUAGAAAAACCUGUUCAUGCAGGGAAUUCGAGAUGAUAGCAAUUCCUUGCACGCAUGAUGUUGCAGCAGCAGUAAACGGGAAGCAUGACGUUGAGAGCAUGGUGGCUAGGGAGUACACAACUGCGUACUGGGGCUUGGCUUACGCAGAGAGCAUAAACCCGGUGAACCCAUCCACAGCUACCAACGAGCAGCCUGAGAUGAAGCUUCUCCCACCAAACACCCGUAGGCCAGCAGGAAGACCCAGGAAGGCACGAAUCCCAUCAGCGGGUGAAAUAAGGAACACAGGGGUUUUCAAGAGAAGCAGGGCUUGUAGCAGGUGCGGCGGUAGUGAUCACAACCGCGCGACCUGCAGAAUGCCUAUCUGAUCACUUAUCUAUAAGUAUUAGGAGUGGCAACGGAUGGUAGGAUGGUCUUUUGAAGGUCAGAUCGGGGGCGACCUUGUCUUUAUAUGUUAUAUGCUAAACUUGUUCCCCUAAGCUGUUCACAAAUAUUGAAGU